rnacentral:rRNA from 1 species
GCCGUGAGGUGUCCCGUUAAGUCGGUCAACGAGCGCAACCCUUGCUCUGUGUUACUCCGGCAUCACGUCGGAGGUCUCACCGAGGACUGCCUCGCCUAUUGAGCGGGGAGGAAGGUGGGGAUGACGUCAAAUCAGCGUGUCCCUUAUGCCCUGGGCAACACUCGUGUUACAAUGGUCAGCAACAACGGGUUGCAAGUCCGCGAGGACAAGCUAAUCCCUGAAAUCUGGCCUCAGUUCGGAUUGCAGGCUGAAACUCGCCUGCAUGAAGCCGGAAUCGCUA